AUGGGUCCCGUUGCUGGAGGCGGGGUAGACAGAAGCACAUGUGCAUCCGCGAGCAAAGCAGAGGUUAAGGUAGUUGAGCAUGGUCCCGACCAAGCUUUGUAUAUCGCCACCGUCCAGCCUGUUGAGACGAACAUAGAGGCACAUGAUUUGCUUGCGCGCAAUCUUGAGGAACCACUUGGCCUUGGUAAGGAGAUAGCUUGGGCGAAGGCCAAGGCUUGA
rnacentral:rRNA from 1 species